GGGCGUGUGGCCUAGCAUGGAUAUGGCAGCAGCCUCCUAAGCUGCAAGUCAGGGGUUCAAAUCCCCUCACGCCCG
rnacentral:tRNA from 2 species